rnacentral:lncRNA from 1 species
AUGACUGCCAGCCCAGACCCUGGGGUAACUAUGCUUGAAGAGACUGACACAGGCAAACAAACUAGUAAAGGAGAAACUUUGAAGACAGAAUGGCAUAACCAACUUCUCCUGCAGUGCUUCGGCCUGGUCCAGUGGCUGUUUCCAGAGUCCUGUCACCCAGUACCCAUGGCAGUGCCCCAUCGGCUGGGGAGCUCUUCACUCUGCGGUUGCAAUUGUCUCUGCCUGACAGGCUCUUGCACUGACCGACUUUGGGAGCACUGCAAAGUAACCAGCGGUGCGUCCCUUACAGUGGGUCUUCUGCACAGGAUGAUCUCUCCUCACCUCCCACACCUGCCUCAUUUGUGCAUUUCACCCGCAGCAGUUCACCCUCCUCACACUGCCAUGGCUGGGAGAGUCGCCCUGCAAGAGAUUGCUGUACAGGAGCAGCAAAAUAUCCAGCAGGCCACAGCCAGCCAUUUUAUGUUUAACUGGGCUGUCCCUGGGAGAGCCAAGGGUAAGGGACAAGCUCUCCCAGUCCAUGGCACAAAACGGUGGUUGCUGCAUGGACAGAUGGUCCCUCAGCCUGGCGUGGGUGCUGUGUCCCUCCAGUUCCUCGCCCUGCUGCCCUCCUCCCCAACACAGUGCCUGGGCCAAACCUUGUCCCCAGGAGGGGAAGGCGUCCUUCAGUGGCAAAAAGGUCACUCCUGGGAGAUGGGCUUUGCACUGACAGAGAUUCCCCUGGAAGAUGGGGCGAAGGUGAAGCAGGAUGUGAGACAGCCUAGAAGCAGUGGUGCUGGGAUGUCACGCGGGUGUAGCCACAGGCAUAGCCUGUCUCAUCCACCCUGGCGCACAGCGCUGCCAUCUCCGUGCUCUCAUGCCUGGUCUCAGGCUGAGGAAAACAGCUCUGCAGUUGUACCAUCUAGUUCAUUGCCCACUUCCCUGACACCGUGCAGAGCUGUGCAGUGCAGGGAGAACCCAGCUGUGAACAGUCAUUGCAUUUCGCUGUUCUCUGCCUGCAGCUCAGUGCGUGUGCGUGUUGCGUGCGAGGUGGGAGCAAGUCAUACCACGAGCCAGGGUGCAGGGUGCAAGGGCACAGCUCAAAGCAUGGUAUCCCUGGCCACAUAG